GAUGAACGCUGGCGGCGUGCUUAACACAUGCAAGUCGAACGAAGCACUUAAGUUUGAUUCUUCGGAUGAAGACUUUUGUGACUGAGUGGCGGACGGGUGAGUAACGCGUGGGUAACCUGCCUCAUACAGGGGGAGUAACAGUUAGAAAUGACUGCUAAUACCGCAUAAGACCACAGCACCGCAUGAUGCAGGGGUAAAAACUACCGGUGGUAUGAGAUGGACCCGCGUCUGAUUAGCCAGUUGGCGGGGUAACGGGCCCACCCAAAGACGACGAUCGGUAGCCGGACUGAGAGGUUGAACGGCCACAUUGGGACUGAGACACGGCCCAG
rnacentral:rRNA from 1 species